rnacentral:rRNA from 1 species
AUGUCCAUCUCUAAAUUUAGAGGUGGGAUGGGUUUCAAGGAUCUGCAAUUAUUUAAGGAUGCUAUGCUAGCAAAACAAGCUUGGCGGUUGCUCGACAAGCCUGAGAGUUUAUGUGCUAGAGUCCUUCGAGGACGCUACUUUCCAGAGGGGAAUUUCUUGCAGGCGGGUUGCCCCGCUGGUGCUUCAACAACCUGGAGAGCUAUAUGUCAAGGA